rnacentral:rRNA from 1 species
CCUACGGGUGGCUGCAGUGAGGAAUAUUGGUCAAUGGCCGGAAGACUGAACCAGCCAUGCCGCGUGAAGGUCAAUGCCCUAUGGUCGUGAAACUUCUUUUGUUCGGGAGCCAUAAAGGUCAAGUGUGGCCAGAAGGGAGUACCGUACGAAUAAACAUCGGGUAACCCCGGGCCAGCAGCGGCGGUAAAACGGGGGAUGCAGGAGUUAUCCGGAUUUAUGGGGUUUAAAGGGUGCGGAGGCUGUGAGGUAAGUCAGCGGUGAAAUGCCCCCGCUCAACGGGGUGAAGCGCCAUUGACACUGCCUUGCUGGAAUGCGGAUGCCGUAGGAGGAAUGUGUGGUGUAGCGGUGAAAUGCAUAGAUAUCACACAGAACACCGAUUGCGAAGGCAUCUCACGAAUCCGCGAUUGACGCUGAUGCACGAAAGCGUGGGUAUCAAACAGGAUUAGAUACCCGUGUAGUC